UACGGGGGGGGGCAAGCGUUGUUCGGAAUUACUGGGCGUAAAGGGCGCGUAGGCGGCCUUCUAAGUCGAACGUGAAAUCCCCGGGCUCAAUCCGGGAACUGCGUCCGAUACUGGAAGGCUUGAAUCCGGGAGAGGGAUGCGGAAUUCCAGGUGUAGCGGUGAAAUGCGUAGAUAUCUGGAGGAACACCGGUGGCGAAGGCGGCAUCCUGGACCGGUAUUGACGCUGAGGCGCGAAAGCCAGGGGAGCAAACGGG
rnacentral:rRNA from 1 species